GAUGAACGCUGGCGGCGUGCCUAAUACAUGCAAGUCGAGCGAACAGAUAAGGAGCUUGCUCCUUUGACGUUAGCGGCGGACGGGUGAGUAACACGUGGGUAACCUACCUAUAAGACUGGGAUAACUUCGGGAAACCGGAGCUAAUACCGGAUAAUAUUUCGAACCGCAUGGUUCGAUAGUGAAAGAUGGUUUUGCUAUCACUUAUAGAUGGACCCGCGCCGUAUUAGCUAGUUGGUAAGGUAACGGCUUACCAAGGCGACGAUACGUAGCCGACCUGAGAGGGUGAUCGGCCACACUGGAACUGAGACACGGUCCAGACUCCUACGGGAGGCAGCAGUAGGGAAUCUUCCGCAAUGGGCGAAAGCCUGACGGAGCAACGCCGCGUGAGUGAUGAAGGUCUUCGGAUCGUAAAACUCUGUUAUUAGGGAAGAACAUACGUGUAAGUAACUGUGCACGUCUUGACGGUACCUAAUCAGAAAGCCACGGCUAACUACGUGCCAGCAGCCGCGGUAAUACGUAGGUGGCAAGCGUUAUCCGGAAUUAUUGGGCGUAAAGCGCGCGUAGGCGGUUUUUUAAGUCUGAUGUGAAAGCCCACGGCUCAACCGUGGAGGGUCAUUGGAAACUGGAAAACUUGAGUGCAGAAGAGGAAAGUGGAAUUCCAUGUGUAGCGGUGAAAUGCGCAGAGAUAUGGAGGAACACCAGUGGCGAAGGCGACUUUCUGGUCUGUAACUGACGCUGAUGUGCGAAAGCGUGGGGAUCAAACAGGAUUAGAUACCCUGGUAGUCCACGCCGUAAACGAUGAGUGCUAAGUGUUAGGGGGUUUCCGCCCCUUAGUGCUGCAGCUAACGCAUUAAGCACUCCGCCUGGGGAGUACGACCG
rnacentral:rRNA from 1 species